CAACCUCGUCCGCCCCUGGUGAGGUGUCCAUCAGCUUCCUGACCUCCGCCAUGGACGCGAGCUGGGCGACCUCGUCCCCCGCCCGCCUCGUUUCUUUUCCUCCUCGUCAAGGCCGUCUUGCCAAGAGCACCGCGAGGAUCUACUCCGUCGUUUCCACCAGAAGAUCGAGCCCGGAGCGUCAAGGUCGACGACACGGACGACGUCCUCGCAGCGUGUCCGCGACGGUGACCACCGUCGUCAUCUUCUUCCCCGGCGUCUUCACGCGUCUCUGGGCCGAAUCCGUUCGCCAGCAACUUCUCGCAUUUGCUUCUUCCCGGAUAGGAUCACGAAGUGGUGUGGUGAGAUACGA